rnacentral:lncRNA from 1 species
CCUUCGACUGGACUUGCAGUGGAAUUUGCAAGUCAAUAGAGAAGAUUAAAUUUGUACACGAAAGGUGUGGUGAAGGAGAAGAGGCUCUUUGGAAUGCUUUACUAUAAACAACUAUAUUGGGACAGGGGAACCUCGAAACUCCACAUUUUCAGCCGCUGGGUUAGUCGAGGCAGUUUCUUGUUUAGUCAAUACAAAUAGUUGCAUGUGGCUUCGAGAUACACAAUCAAAGUAAAUUAUUACCUGAGUUAGAGCACAGAUGGUAAUUUAUUUUGAUUUUACGGAUUCUUGGAUAGUAGAUUAUGGAGCCACGACAUAUUUUGCGCACAUUCUUUUACUUUAGAAUAGAGGGGAUGUUAUUUUUUUGGAUAUGAUACUUGAUUCUGAAUAGAAGACUACAUAUAUUGGUGAUGUGGAAUUAUAUAGAAGGGAUUGUUUCACAUUUGUAUAUACAAUUAAAAUUAUUUCUUGCUCUCUUCCAAAAUUUAGUGGACUUUUUAGCACCAAAUGUGUAAUUUGCCUAAAAAAGGACUAUGACUUCUUAAAUAAGUUGUACGCUUGAGGUUAAUCAAGACAAGUUUUACAUUUUACGAAUAUGUUUCACGUCAGUUAUUGAAUUUCGACUCGUGUUUCUGUUUCGAUUUGGUCAUUCUGUAUUUAUGCAUG